rnacentral:siRNA from 1 species
CCACGUCUCCAUAACUUUUGGGCU